UAACGACAAUGGGUGUGAAAAACACCCACGCCGAAAGACCAAGGGUUCCUGCGCAACGUUAAUCGACGCAGGGUUAGUCGGUUCCUAAGGCGAGGCUGAAAAGCGUAGUCGAUGGGAAACAGGUUAAUAUUCCUGUACUUCUGGUUACUGCGAUGGAGGGACGGAGAAGGCUAGGCCAGCUUGGCGUUGGUUGUCCAAGUUUAAGGUGGUAGGCUGAAAUCUUAGGUAAAUCCGGGGUUUCAAGGCCGAGAGCUGAUGACGAGUCGUCUUUUAGAUGACGAAGUGGUUGAUGCCAUGCUUCCAAGAAAAGCUUCUAAGCUUCAGGUAACCAGGAACCGUACCCCAAACCGACACAGGUGGUCGGGUAGAGAAUACCAAGGCGCUUGAGAGAACUCGGGUGAAGGAACUAGGCAAAAUGGCACCGUAACUUCGGGAGAAGGUGCGCCGGCUAGGGUGAAGGAUUUACUCCGUAAGCUCUGGCUGGUCGAAGAUACCAGGCCGCUGCGACUGUUUAUUAAAAACACAGCACUCUGCAAACACGAAAGUGGACGUAUAGGGUGUGACGCCUGCCCGGUGCCGGAAGGUUAAUUGAUGGGGUUAGCGCAAGCGAAGCUCUUGAUCGAAGCCCCGGUAAACGGCGGCCGUAACUAUAACGGUCCUAAGGUAGCGAAAUUCCUUGUCGGGUAAGUUCCGACCUGCACGAAUGGCGUAACGAUGGCGGCGCUGUCUCCACCCGAGACUCAGUGAAAUUGAAAUCGCUGUGAAGAUGCAGUGUAUCCGCGGCUAGACGGAAAGACCCCGUGAACCUUUACUGUAGCUUUGCACUGGACUUUGAGCCUGCUUGUGUAGGAUAGGUGGGAGGCUUUGAAGCGUGGACGCCAGUUCGCGUGGAGCCAUCCUUGAAAUACCACCCUGGCAUGCUUGAGGUUCUAACUCUGGUCCGUGAUCCGGAUCGAGGACAGUGUAUGGUGGGCAGUUUGACUGGGGCGGUCUCCUCCUAAAGAGUAACGGAGGAGUACGAAGGUGCGCUCAGACCGGUCGGAAAUCGGUCGCAGAGUAUAAAGGCAAAAGCGCGCUUGACUGCGAGACAGACACGUCGAGCAGGUACGAAAGUAGGUCUUAGUGAUCCGGUGGUUCUGUAUGGAAGGGCCAUCGCUCAACGGAUAAAAGG
rnacentral:rRNA from 1 species